GAUAACGAGGAAGGCUAAAGGACAGCAGUGGCGUUGUACCUUCUUCGACUCCAUGUGUUUGGUGCAUUGAGGAUUCUUUGCUCAAAGGAAGAUUUACGCAUCCAUGGCGAUGAGGCAUAAGAGUAGCCUCUCCAGUUCGCCUGCCCCCUGCCUUAUUACCGCAUCAUGAGAAGCAGGAGGACAUGAAGUAUAGUGUACUGCUGGUUAUCAUGAUAGCAGCCGUGCAUAUGCA